GUGGGUAAUCUGCCCUGCACUCUGGGAUAAGCCUGGGAAACUGGGUCUAAUACUGGAUAUGACCUUUCUCCUUAUGGGGUUUGGUGGAAAGUUUUUCGGUGUAGGAUGAGCCCGCGGCCUAUCAGCUUGUUGGUGGGGUGAUGGCCUACCAAGGCGACGACGGGUAGCCGGCCUGAGAGGGUGAUCGGCCACAUUGGGACUGAGAUACGGCCCAG
rnacentral:rRNA from 1 species